rnacentral:rRNA from 1 species
UGGGGAAUAUUGGACAAUGGGCGAAAGCCUGAUCCAGCAAUGCCGCGUGAGUGAUGAAGGCCCUAGGGUUGUAAAGCUCUUUUACCCGGGAUGAUAAUGACAGUACCGGGAGAAUAAGCCCCGGCUAACUCCGUGCCAGCAGCCGCGGUAAUACGGAGGGGGCUAGCGUUGUUCGGAAUUACUGGGCGUAAAGCGCACGUAGGCGGCUUUGCAAGUCAGAGGUGAAAGCCCGGGGCUCAACCCCGGAAUUGCCUUUGAGACUGCAUCGCUAGAAUUGUGGAGAGGUAAGUGGAAUUCCGAGUGUAGAGGUGAAAUUCGUAGAUAUUCGGAAGAACACCAGUGGCGAAGGCGACUUACUGGACACAUAUUGACGCUGAGGUGCGAAAGCGUGGGGAGCAAACAGG